AAGCGGUGGAGCAUGUGGUUAAUUCGAAGCAACGCGAAGAACCUUACCAGGGCUUGACAUCCCUUGAAGCAGCUAGAGAUAGCUGCGUCCUUCGGGACAAGGAGACAGGUGGUGCAUGGUUGUCGUCAGCUCGUGUCGUGAGAUGUUGGGUUAAGUCCCGCAACGAGCGCAACCCCUGUGGUUAGUUGCCAGCAAGUAGCGUUGGGCACUCUAGCCAGACUGCCGGUGAUAAAUCGGAGGAAGGUGGGGACGACGUCAAAUCAUCAUGCCCUUUAUGUCCUGGGCUACACACGUACUACAAUGGCCGUUACAACGGGAAGCGAAGGAGCAAUCCGGAGCAAAUCCCUUAAAGGCGGUCCCAGUUCAGAUUGUGGGCUGAAACUCGCCCACAUGAAGGCGGAAUUGCUAGUAAUUGCAGAUCAGCAUGCUGCAGUGAAUACGUUCCCGGGCCUU
rnacentral:rRNA from 1 species